CAGAAAUUAAUGUGAAAAACACACCUUUUCUCACAUGGUAUCAGAGCCUAGGUGAGAUCAAAACAAGUAGCUUGAAUCAAUUUUCUUCGCCUUCUAACUCUGUUUCUGCCCUCACACCCUAUUCUCUAAGUCACCCAUAGAGGGUGUUCUAUUCGCAUCACUGGCUCCCUUAUUGGUGAGCUUGGCCGCCGACUGGCCUUCAAUCAAAUCCCAGUGAUCGGACGUAUAGCGUGUGGCUCUCAUGCGCCAUCCUUUGUUUUGCGUCCUAGUUCCACGUGCAAGUGCGUGUGGUGGUUUCCGGCAAUGUCUGGCGGUCGGACCUCUUCUCUCGGCGUUGCCCCAACCUGGUGGUUCCAUCCCCCUAGGCUUUCUUGAGUUUUGAGGCUUCUCUUUUGGUGGUGUUUGGCAACCUUGCUUUUUUGGUUUACCAUCAUCUCACAAAAGAUCCACUAGAUGAUGAUACCAAGCAAGCUUGACUGACGGAAGAUACCCGUUCUUAGAACUUUGGAAUUCAAUUCACAGUGAGGUAAUGAGUCUUAUUAAUCACUCUGAAUAUAUUAGGGAAUUAAUGGAUUAUUUAGAAUUUUUAUAUUUUGGCAAACGCAAUAUCUCUCACAUAUGUGAUGUUUGUAGAGCAUUUUAUCGACCUGAAAAACAGGAUAAGACUCUUACAACGUAUUUAUGAAGUGUUUGAUGUUCUACCACCAUUCAAUCCUAAUGUAAAAGUGCAACAAGCUCAAGGUGAGUAAAUGGCUGUUAUAAGUUUUCUUGCUGGUUUACUCGCAAAAUAUGAGACUGUUAAAUCUCAUAUUUUCUCUAGUUCUAAGAUUUCUUUUCCGCAUGAUACAUUUACACGUGUUCUUCGUACAGAGGGUACUCAAUUUUCACAACCCACUAAUGGUGCUCUUGUUAGACAGAAUGUGAAUGGACAAUAGGGAAAUAGAGGA
rnacentral:misc_RNA from 1 species